GAUGAAGAACGUAGCGAAAUGCGUUAAGUAAUGCGAAUUGCAGAAUUCAGUGAAUCAUCGAAUCUUUGAACGCACAUUGCGCCCGCUAGUAUUCUGGCGGGCAUGCCUGUCUGAGCGUCAUUUCAACCCUCGCCCCCGGCUUUUGCUGGGAGCGGUGUUGGGGAUCGGCCGCCCGUCACUGGGAGGCCGGCCCCGAAAUAGAGUGGCGACCACGCCGUGUGCUCCUCUGCGUAGUAGUAAAUCACCUCGCAGGCGGACAGCGGUGCGGCCUGCCGUAAAACCCCCAACUCUUUCUGGUUGACCUCAGAUCAGGUAGGAAUACCCGCUGAACUUAAGCAUAUCAAUAAGCGGAGGA
rnacentral:misc_RNA from 1 species